UCUAAUGUGGCAGAUUAGUGCAAUGGAUUUAAGCCCCAUUUAUAAAGUUUUUCUUUCUUUAGAA
rnacentral:tRNA from 1 species